ensembl:lncRNA
UUUAUUGAUUCAUUGUCUUUCCCAGAUAAAACAAGUACUAAAGAUCAGGAUGAGCAAUCAAGGUCAAAAGGACUGCACUGACAUGCACUAGCUAUACAACUGUGGUUACACGCUAUGUAUUUAUUGCCAUUAUGUGAAAACUUUGACCUAUGGAAAUGAUAAUUGUUUGUUUUUAUUCCACAGUGGUUCCCUAACAGUUCUCAUCAUCUCUUUGACUUUGUUGAUCUUCUUUGUAACAGUGAGCUUGGUCAUUUGGUUUUUGCUCAAAGGAUCCAAAUGGACCAAAAGAGAAUCAUCAGGGACGGCACUGAGUUUCACUGCUAAAUGCGAUGUGGAUGUGACAUACAGCUCUGUGUUUACUAUGACUCAACAAACCAC